AGUGAAGUAGCUCAACAGAAAUGUUGGAAAAAAUCCCGAGUUGUCAGGAUUUAAACAAUGCAUUGUUAGGCCAGGGCUUUACUUGAACAUGAUGAUGGGCUCCAGCCCCUGCAGCGCCCACUGGUCAGGGAAGGCCUCUAGUGUACAGGUGAACACUGCGUGCUCCCUCUCCAGGGACACCUGACUGCAAACGUAGCUGUGGAAGAGGGGCAGACAGUCGGGUCGAACAACCCCCUCGACUGCCCGCUGCCUGGUCCAGUUAAUGGGCACCUUGGCCAGGCCCAGGAGCAGGCUAACAAGGAGGUCUUUCCCCUGCCCACCCCGUUCCGCACCAACGAUCAGGAGUAUGAGGCUGAAGUGCAACCAAAGCCUGAGGAGCAGCCCCCUUCGAAUAGUCAAAAAGGAUCUCCCACCAACACAGAACCACUGGACCUUUUCGGUAUGAAGCCCAUCUGGCAGCCAUCUUUAAUAUCUCUCAUCAAUAACCAUUUGAAUUAAAAUCAACUGGAUGUAACUAAGAUGCCUGCACUGCUUAUUGUUCCUCGAGGUUGUUUGUAGCUGAUAUUCACAGCUCUUUAACCCAGUUGCAGCUCAUUUGGAUAGUGUGGUCGCAUAUACUUAAUGCAAGGAUGCUUCAGGGAUAUUUUGGCUAGAAACCACAUCGUCCUCUCUGAGAACGUAUUGAGAAAAACAAAUCCUUAUUUCAUUACAAAAAUUUGCCAGCACCAUAUAUGAUUAGACAGCACAAAAUUCAGAUGCUAGAAAAGGAAGCAGU